AUAGCGUAUAUUAAAGUUGUUGCAGUUAAAAAGCUCGUAGUUGAACUUCAGACCUGGCUGGGCGGUCAGCUUAACAGCGUGUACUGUCUGGCUGGGCCUUACCUCUUGGUGAGCCGGCGUGUCCUUUAUUGGAUGCGUCGGGGAACCAGGACUUUUACCUUGAGAAAAUUAGAGUGUUCAAAGCAGGCCUAUGCCCGAAUACAUUAGCAUGGAAUAAUAAAAUAGGACGUGCGGUUCUAUUUUGUUGGUUUCUAGAGUCGCCGUAAUGAUUAAUAGGGAUAGUUGGGGGCAUUGGUAUUGAGUCGCUAGAGGUGAAAUUCUUGGAUUGACUCAAGACCAACUAUUG
rnacentral:rRNA from 1 species